rnacentral:ncRNA from 1 species
CGGGCGCGGCGCCGGGUUGGCGAGGCCGACCUGAGGGAAAUGCGGGUGAAAAUCCUGCGCUAUACCAGUAACCGUAAGCGCUGAUGGGCGGACAAGAGAGCGCAACGCAGCGCGCUCCCGCUCAGACGAGGCAAAGUCGGAAUACCUGCUCAUCGUACCGCAACGCC